rnacentral:lncRNA from 1 species
CUGUCUAGAGAAAACCCGUCUACACCAAAGUGGAUCAGCUCAAACCUGGAACCAACCGUCACACGUUGGUGGCUAAGGUCUUGUCCUCCGACACCGUCGUGGCAAACCGCGAUCUUCCUAUGCCCAUAACAUCAGAGCUACUAUCACUCGCAAUGAACAAGGUACUCCAAUUUCACCUACCCAUCCUUGCAAAAGUUAUUCUUUUUUACUUAUUUCAAUUUCCCUUUUAUCAAAUGGAAACUUUUCACUUGGACAGUAUUUUAUUUGUCUCAAUUUUGAGUUUUUAUUUUCAUUUUGGAGUUUUCUUUAUAAGAUCUGGAUUUGUAUUGGGUUUGUGAGAUUGCGCAUGUUUAGUGCUCUAAUUUCAAUUAUGCAUAUGCGCUAUGAUGGUGGUGAGUGAAUCAUAAGUGUCUGAUUCGAUAGAUAAGAUAAGCCCUUCUUCCCAUAUAUUUUUGGUUGGAUUGCGUGACCUAUUUAUAUCUCUGCACUCCUCUAUUGCCAAUUUCUAUGUAAGCAUACUAUAGCCUCAUCUACAUUAGGCCUUUUGAUGCUGCAGUGAGAAAAAAUAAUAGAAAAACACAAUAGGAGGAAGCUAAGCCAUCUUGGCUCUAACAUAACAUGUAGUUUCAUGCUUAUGACCUAUGGGUUUAUGCAAUACCUAUAUUGAGAGAAACUAUGUUAUCAUCAUAGUUGGGUUUGGAAUUAAUACAGAUCGCCAGAUGAGGUGGACUUCUGCAAGCUAAUGAGAUUAAAUGCCUCAUACAUCUUAUACAUACUUAUAACACAUGGUUCGAGUUCACCCAUAUAUCUUACCCCAACUUUUUAUAUUGAUUAUUGGACAUGAAUAAUUUACCUUGCAUUCUUUUUCCUAAUUCAACAUAAAUAGAUUAUAACUCAAAAUCACAAAAAAGAAACUACAUAUAAAAGAAGAAGAAAAUUUUAAUUUAAAAAGAAGAACAAAAAAGGAACUACUUCUAAAUUGAAUUACUUCACCAGGAAUCAGUGCAUAUAUCAUUCCUGCAUUCAGUAUUUGAUUUUUUCUCAUGUUAGUGUAGGCCACUGAACACAAAAUGGGCAUGACUUGGGAACAUAAACUAAUUGCUUUUGUACAAGAGAAAUUUUCAACUUAAAGUUUGAAGACAACUGUAAUAACUUAAUUUUGCCAUUUAUUUUACUAAGCUAGGGCUAGUAAUUUAAUCAUAUGAAAUGACAUAAUGUGACAGUUGAAUGGAAGUCCGGGUUAGGUUCAAAAUGUUGAAAAUGGAAGCCAUCUGGAAGGUUCAACAACUUGUCUUCUAUCCCUUCUCCUGCUCCCUCUCUAAUUUUAGUUUUACCAUUUUAUAACAAUGUUUCAGGUCCCCUAGACCAGUGUUGCUCUCCAACCCAUCCAGUACUUUCGAUUUGUCUGUCUCUUCACAAAUUAAGAAACACAGGAAGAAGAGAACAAAGUUGGUAUUCAUAUCUAUUAAAUUUGUCCUAUAUAUCUUGCAAAAAAAUUGCUGAUAUUUUUCAUCUAGCCGGUGGUUUAUGUAGUUAUGGUCUCAAACUCAUAGAUUCCAUGAAUUGAUAGUUUCUUUGAUAAUUGUUAUGUGUUCUUCUAUCUCUCUCUCUCUAAACUCAUAUGCCUCCAACUAUGUUAUUAAGGUCGUCAAAAAGGAUGAGCCGUUCAAAUACUUAUAAGAAUGCUUUUGUGGCUGUUCUACCCGAGAAGAAAAAUUUGUUGAAGAUGAAAAAGAAGUUUGUAUCUCUACCUUUAUCAUUUGUCACUCUUGAUGUAGUUAGGAUAAUAUGGUUGUGGGUGAACUGUUUUGAACUAAAUAUUUUUUUUCCGGCUUAAUUCUAAUAAACUGUUAUUACUAGGUCACACUGUAAGUAAAGUUGAACUCCCCCAGAAAGCAUCAAAUUCGAAAUCUAGUAAGAGUUAAUGUUAAUACCUACACCCUUUCAUUUAUAUGUAUUUAUCAGAUUGUAUUGUUAUAUCACUCGUUGCUGAUGAUAAUCAUUUUGUUAAUCCAACGUAUUAUUCUCAAGGGAUUAGUGAUUGCAUAAGUUAGUUUUUGAGGAAAAUGGACUGUUGGAUGGAAUUGAAGUAGCUUAGCUUAUUAUGCACGCGGACAGGUUGUUUGUGUGUUUUUUUUUUUGUAAGGCAUGUCUAUUAUCCGGCUAACAAUCACAUUUUGGUUAACAGAAAUUGCUUGAAGGUUUCAAAAUGGGCUGGUUUGAGGUCCAUGCACGAUUUGCUUCUUUUUUGAAGUCAUGAAAAGGAGAAUUAUAAUAAUUAAACAAGUUCUUUUAUCAAUACGUUUUAUGUUUUAUUUAAAAUCUAAGUCCUCUUUUCUUUGUUUGUUUUCAAAUGGUUUAAAUUUUUUUUAUAUCUAGGUGUCUUUGUUUUAAACUUUUUUCUUAAAAGAUAAUCCCUUUGAAAAAGACUCUAUGAUGUAAUUAAAGUUAAUUUAAGAUAUAUUUUUGGAUUUGUUAAUAUUUAACUCUAUUAAAUUAAGGAUUAAAAUUAUUUGGUUGUUGAACUAGUUAUAUUGUUUAUUUUGAUUGUAGGUAUUUAGUAUUUUUUUUCUAAAUAUGAGACUAGAUAUAUUUGAAUAAAAUUUUUCAUUUGCUCUGUCUCCUUUGUUUUUUUUUCAAUUAAUAUUGUUGUUAGCUCUUCCUUUUUCUGAUGUGAUUCUUCAUUUCUUGGUAUAUGAUUUCAUUAAUUAAAAUUCAAUAGAUUCUGAAUUGAUUCCUUUAGUGUUGCUAAAAGUGAAAUUGAUAAUCAGACUAACAUUCUUGAUCUAGCUUUUGGUUUGUCCUUGAAAAAGAUUCAUUGUUUUGCAGACAUUUCUUGAGUUGGGAGGAUUAUUAAUUCUUUCAAACACAGGAGCUGCAUUAGAUGCAUUCAAAAUUGUGAGGGGUUAAGAGUUUAUCAUAUGUUCUUUUUUUUUGGUUUGGAAAUUUUAUCUUUAUGAAUAGACUUUUAAAGUUUCAUAAUUUGCUAAUGAUGGAUUUGUGUCUUCUUCUUUGCGGUUUUUGAGAUGAUUUGCGGAUGCUCCAUGGAUUGAAGGUGGAACAAGGAUCUCACGUAAAGAGCUAGAUUCCUUGAAGGUGCAUGCUAAGUAUGAAGAGUGAGUGGUGAGGCCAUCUCACUUGGAAG